GUGCUCACUUCAGCAGCACGUGUAUUAAAAUUGGAAAGAUACAGAGAAGAUUAGCAUGGCCUCU
rnacentral:snRNA from 1 species